ACGCGAAAGUUCCCUUCGGGGGAAAGUAGAGUGGCGUCCGGGUGAGUAACACGUAGGUAAUCUACCUUCGGGUGGGGAAUAACGCAGGGAAACUUGCGCUAAUACCGCAUAAUGCAGCGGCACCACAUGGUGACAGUUGUUAAAGCGGGGGAUUUUCGAACCUCGCGCCUGAAGAGGAGCCUGCGGCAGAUUAGCUAGUUGGUAGGGUAACGGCUUACCAAGGCGACGAUCUGUAGCCGGCCUGAGAGGGCGGUCGGCCACACUGACACUGACAUACGGGUCAGACUCCUACGGGAGGCAGCAGUCGGGAAUUUUGGGCAAUGGGCGAAAGCCUGACCCAGCAACGCCGCGUGAAGGAUGAAAUCCCUCGGGAUGUAAACUUCGCAAGAAUGGGAAGAAUAGACGAGUACUAAUACUGCUCGUGAUGACGGUACCAUUUGUAAGCUCCGGCUAACUCCGUGCCAGCAGCCGCGGUAAUACGGGGGGAGCAAGCGUUGUUCGGAUUUACUGGGCGUAAAGGGCGCGUAGGCGGCCAGCGCAAGUCAGUUGUGAAAUCUCCGGGCUUAACUCGGAACGGUCAACUGAUACUGCGCGGCUAGAGUGCAGAAGGGGCAACUGGAAUUCUCGGUGUAGCGGUGAAAUGCGUAGAUAUCGAGAGGAACACCUGCGGCGAAGGCGGGUUGCUGGGCUGACACUGACGCUGAUGCGCGAAAGCCAGGGGAGCGAACGGGAUUAGAUACCCCGGUAGUCCUGGCCUUAACGAUGGAUGCUUGGUGUCUGG
rnacentral:rRNA from 1 species